UUCCCCUUCCUCAUCCUCACGCCCGCUCGCUCCCCCCGACUCCCUGACCGCUUGCUUCCUCCCCCCUUUCUCCCGCCCCUCUCCACCAAACCCUAAGGCCGUCUCCCUCCCUCCGCCUCCCCGUUCGCCAUCUCCCCGUGGCGUCCUCCGCGGCUCCUUCGGGCGCGGCGGCGUCGGCGACGGAGUGCCCUCGCUUUCUAGAGCGGUGCGGCCUCAACGCCGACGAGUUCGACGACGAUGCCGAGGCGGAACCCACGGGAGAGAGGAGGGGAAGGCCAUCGUCAUGGCUGGAUCUGGUCUCUCCUUGCUCAGCGGUAGCGGCAACGUCCUCCCCUUUGUCCUGGCCUCCCCAUCCUCCUCCCAAAAAAUCCCCCACUGCUGGCUUCAUCGAUGACGGCGAUGAUGUACAGUAGCUCCCGUGUCACCCACUCCGCUAGAUAUGGAGGCACCUCGUCCUCUUCUUCGUCUCAGCGCCAGACAGUCCCCUCGUCCUCGGCACCGUCAUCGACACCAAAGGAACAAUGAUGAGGCCUCUGGGUGGAGACGAGGAUCUCGGUGGUGAUGCGGCCGGAGGCAAUACAACAUUCGCACUGUUAACAUGACAUUGAAGUGUGGUUGAUUAGGCGAAGAAAGAUAUAUUUUGGUUGGAGGAUUGCAGGGAUGUAAGCGGUUUGAAUAACAUUUGGGACUAACCUGACAAAGAGGUUCCAGUGUUUCCUCUGCGAAAGUUGUUGCGAAAAGCAGCUGGACAAGACAAUUAUGAGAUUCCAUUUACAUGGUUUUUCUUCAUGGUCAUGAAGCAACUUGCUCGUUGGACCUGUUGCAUAGCUUACAUGGCUCCUCCCAUUAUGUCUUGCUUCCAAUAAAGACUUCAUUUCUUUGAUUGUUGGGGGUGCGCUUCAGACAUGUGGUCAUGCUGCCGGCAACCGCAUUGGCUCCUAUUCAGCUAAGACGCGGUUCUUGAUUUGUUGGCGAAAACCCAAAUUCUGGGGAAUCAUUGAGCUGACCUGGAGUUCUUGUUCAGUGUUUUGCUGAAUCUGGAUAUGGCGAGCUUUUAGCAGGAAACAAACGCCAGGAAUGAUCAAGGGCCUUUUGCUGAUCACGUUGGGCAUCAGAACCACAUGGAAAACCUCACAGAUCAUCCAGAAAAAACUCUCAGAAUGCAAAGGAUCUAGGAUUUUCUCCAUUGAGUUUGUUGCCCUGAUUGCAUUUUGCCCCUUUAGUUCAGAGUUGUUCAUUCUCUCGGAAAGGAGACCGCACAAAGCAUCCGUUAAUUUAUCCAUUCAGUAUGAGAUACCAAGGAAACCCACUAAAAUGAUAGUUGGCAACAACCUAGCAAGAAGAACCUAAGGUGAUGGAAAAAAGCAACAAGUACUUAGGGUUUGUCAUUCUCUCCAGCAGGUGAUAUGCUAUUCAAUUUAUUAUUUCCUGUGAUUUUACGGUGCCACUACCUUCGUUCUGUUCUCGGAAGCAAUAUAGCUAAUUGCCUAUAAUAGAUUACAUAAUAAAAGUUUAGCGCAUCUGCCAGGUAGCAUUUUCAUACAAUGUUAGAUACUUACAUGCUAUGCAUCUAUUCAAGAUUCCUUUUCUUCUGUCAUGACCUAUUACUGGCAGUACUUAUUUUUGGGCACUCAUAUGGAUCUUUUCUAAUGGUUCUCUGUUAAAGCUACGCAUUGUUCACACAUGAAGAUUAAGUGAAAAAGAUGACACACCCAUCUUACCUUUAUUUGCUGGAUAUGCUAUAUUAAAACCCAAUUGUAUGUCCUUAGCGUCUUAGGUCAUUGUAUUGCACAACACCGUUUGUAGAUGAGCUCAAUAUAUAUAUAUAUAUAUAUAUAUAUAUAUAUAUAUAGGACACUCAUAUGGGGCACCAUGGUGCCCGGGCACCAUGGUUUCAAAUGCACAAAAUCACUCAAAUUUUUCAAAAUUUUCAAAUUGUGAGUAUAUACCUAGUUAUAAGAAUUCGAUUCAUACCUAUACCUAUCAACAAAACAACUCAAAUUUAACUUUAUUUCACAAUCCAUGAUUACAUACCUAACUAAUUAUAUGUAUGGAUGCUAUAUACCUAGAAUCAAAAUCUAACAAAAACAAGUUCAAAUUCAGUUCAAACUUGCUUUCAACUAGUUAGUAAAGUAGUUAAUAUUAAUACCUAAAUAAUUGAAAAAGUUUCAUGCUCAUUUGAAUUGGGUAUAUACUCAAUUUCAACAAUGGUGCCCGGGCACCAUGGAGCACCAAACAAAUUUACUAUAUAUAUAUAUAUAUAUUGCUUAUAUCAUUGUGUUUGCAUAAUAAGGUUUUGGUACUAAUAUGAGGUUACUAUGCUCACAGUGGUUAGAUAUAGAAUUCAUUUUGUUAUUGGUCUGUAGUUUGGUUUUGGCUCUUGUUUUGUUUUUCCACAGGCCCAGCAAAUAUGAUAUAAGAUAAUGUUAGUCAUGGUCCCUCAUCUUGAAAAGGUCGCUGCGGACAUUCCUCAAACAAAUAUAUGAGCCUGUAUAUACCGUACUGUUUAAUGGUCAUCUCAAAUGAUAAAUAUAUGAAAGUAUUAUAUGUUUACCGUGUUUUAUCUAAGAGUACAUGAGCUUGUCAAGUUGUGUGGCGAGAUUAAAUAUAUCAUUGCUGAUUGCUGAUUUGUUGGCUACCUUGAUGAUGUCCAUAUGAGAGCAUCUGAACAUAUAUCCAUUGAAAUAAUCCAAUUUCACGUCCUUAGAAUGCAUACAGACUUCGAACAAGUAUUAAAAAAAUAACUCAACGCAAAAACUCAACGCAAAAGCUUAGUGCACUCAGGUCAAGUCACAAGCAUACAACAGAAAAACGGCUUCCCCUUCCAUACACCUGCAUCAUCUGAUUAUACCAAAGUACAUUCACGAAUAAAAACAUGGUUCCAUAACGUGAUUCAGUAUUCAAACAUGCAUUGCUUGCUGCUUGCCAUAGACAGGACUAAUAUCUAUACUGAACUGAUUUCCUUUUGUUUUCGCUAUAUUAAAUCGCCUGCUUCGAGCACGCGCGGCUUAGCGCGCGAGACCGUUCUAGUAUUUUUACAUAUCACACUAAAUGUUUGAUAAGAGACACUACUACAAAAUCGGUUUUUGCAUGCGGCCAAAAUCGAUUUUCGUAGACGGUUGCAUGCGGACACUUAAGCCAUCCGACUGCGAAAUUGAAAAAUAACAAAAAAAAAAUCUGAAAAUCAAUUUCCCUAGACCCUAACCCUAGAAUCGCAAAAGGGAACUAAUACAAACUCAUAGUAGGGAUGUCACAUCCACACAAAAUCAUCCACUCAUAAUAUAGUAAUUAAAGUGUAAUUACACUUCAAUUAUUCUAUAGUUAUAUCUGAAAGUUUUUUCUCAAAAAUCUUAUGGUAGUUUUUUAAUACUCCCAUUAUUUUUUGUAUGUGACACGUAACUUUUGAUGUAAUCGCACCCAACUCGGAUCACAUUAGCUAGGCUGCUCUACGCCUCCCUUGUGUCAGAACGCUUGCUCGAUCGGCUCCUUUAGGGUGUGUUUGGAUGGUGGUCAAGGAUGGAUAGGAUAUGUCCAUCCAUAUUUUCAGGGAUAUGGCCAUCCAAUUUUUGUUUGGUUCGACGGAUAGGAUGAGCCAAGUUUAUGUUUGGUUGGAAGGAGAAGAGGUGGAUAUGGUGAGCCAAUUUUUUGUUUGGUAGGAUGGAUGGGUGUUGUGAUCACCUUUUGGAUGAAAUGGUGAGAAUACCUCCUUCUCCUUGUAGAUGGCCUAAAUAUCUUUUUUUCUCUGAUUUUACAAUAUAAUGUAAGCAAAUAAGUUUUAUUAAUGUUAUAGAGCAGAUUUUCAUCGGACAAUUCAAAGACAAGCACUUGUACUACAUAUCCGAUAUUGCAAUGCACUCCUAUCUGUGAAUGACAUUUUGUGCCAUUUCUAGUUAUUUUUGGAAGUUUCGUUAUCAGCACCUGUUUCAUCUCAUAGCUUAAUCAUUUUACUGGUUUUCAAGUUGAAUGAAAAAUCCUGCGGAAAGUUCUGAUGGUUGUUGAGGUACUGCACAAGCAGCACAGCUAUACUUGUGUUUCAACAAACUGAACUGACGAAUCUGAAUCUAAAUCCACAAACCAAUGAGUUUUGCUGUUGUGUCUCUGUGCAUUGCUUGGUUGACCAUCAAGAAGAACAUCAAAUACCAUUUGCCGCUCCUGAACCGCUGGACGCCGCCUACCGCCGCCGCCGCUGAACGACACCCACCGCCUCCACCCGUGCGUCUGCCGCGCCCCUGCGCCUCUUCCCAUGACCCUGUGCCUCCUCCCACGCAGCCCUUCGCGCCGGCGCUUGAGGCCGUUGGCGCCUCCGGCUGCGCCACCAGGGGAGAUGAAGGGGAAAGGAAGGGAGAAAAGCUAGGGUUCAGACUUGAGAGCUCCAGAGACUCAGACCGGUGAGAAAGAAAGAAAAGAAGAGGAGAGGAAGAGAAAACGAGGGGGAAGGAGGUGAGCGCAUGCCACUUUUUCCUUUUACGUGCGCUCGCCCGUCCCUGGAUCGCCCCGUUCGCCCGAUUCGGCCGGAUGCAUCUGUUCGGCAUCUACUGCGAAUAUUCCUUAGGGGGUGGCCAUAUCCUAUACCAGCCCAACAACCAAACACCUAUAAAAACCGGGCGGCCAUCUCCUACGCAGGCAAAACCAUCCAAACACAUCCUUAAUUUGCACGAACGUGCCGGACACACGCACAGGUCCACGGGUGUGUUCACCGCCACCCGCAGUUGUACAUUUCGACAUCGCUUGAGUACACAACUAGCACCACCCGUCGUUGCACCAUUUGCUCACACUCACACGGCGCCGCCACAGUAACGUGUACCGCACUGCAACGUGGUCCAUAAAUUAGAGCACACCUUCUCCUCUCCAUCUCUCCCUCUCUCUCUCUCUCGAUCGGCCACAUCCACCCACAGAUUCGAACUUCUCCCUGCCCCCCCCCCCCCCACCCCCAACAAUGUCGGAUUCGACAUAGCGGAGGAGGAUUCGUUUCUUCGCGGUCCCCGUGUUGAAUAGGAAGGAAUUCAGAGGGAUUAGUCCUCAUCGCCGAGGUUUUUCAGAAGACGACCACCACGGUUGAUUUACCGGACCUCUCAAGGCAACAGCGGAUGAUGUUCGGGCGGCGACGUUUAUGGAGCGCGCGCGUCAAGGACUAGUACAGCCAGUUCAAGGAGAACUCCGCCGAGAAAGCACUGGAUCUGCAUCGAGGACAAGUUCCGCGCCGCCGGCGACUACGUCUCACAGAAGAGCAGCUCGGUGUUUGGCAAAAAGAAGGUCGAGCCCAUGGUCAAGGAUGCAGCAGCUCCAGGGAAGGGCGGGAGGUGACUCCGGUGGCAGUCGAAUCUCAGUGAAGGGGGCUCGCAUCUGAUCAUAACCAACUUGAGACAAGUGUAAAUCCUCUUAGGUAUUCGAUGGUGGAAUUUUUGGAGCUGUGAGAUCUUAUCGAUCAGCUUAAGAUGGAAUCUAGCAAUGCACAACCUCAAGAUUCUGCCUAUUCAGUUCCCAAAAACCCAUCCAUGACUUGUUGCCGGAAGAGGACUGAUGGCGCUACUUUCCUCGAAGAUCUGAAAGACCAUAUCGAGGAGUUCAUCCAUGCCUCCAUGGAUGAGCACAAGACAUGCUUCAAACACCAUCCAAAAGAUGUUUGGGAUGUCAAAGGUUGUCGCGGAGCGUUCGGCGGAUGCCAAGGAAGCUGAAGUUAAAAGUGCUUUGCCUCUUCAGACCAGUGUCUCGCAGCCUGUUGCAUUCUGUUGUCUGUCGGGUUUCAAAAAAAAUUCUGUUGUCUGUGGCUAUUUGGAGCUUAACAAUCAGUCCAUCAGUAAUACUGUAAUAACAGAGAUCCUUGUGCCGGCAGUCUGCUGCUUUCUGUUCCGUGUUAGUAUUUGAUGCGUCGUUGGUGUCGUAUUUGAUCGGCACCAAUGCGGUUGAUCUUUGCCAAUAGACGUGAUCUCUACCAACAUA